CUACGGGCGGCUCCAGUCGAGAAUCUUCCGCAAUGGACGAAAGUCUGACGGAGCGACGCCGCGUGCGGGAUGAAGGCCUUCGGGUUGUAAACCGCUGUCAGUGGGGAGGAAAUGCAUCAGGGUUCUCCCUGGUGUUUGACCGAUCCGCAGAGGAAGCGCAGGCUAAGUUCGUGCCAGCAGCCGCGGUAACACGAACUGCGCGAACGUUAUUCGGAAUCACUGGGCUUAAAGAGUUCGUAGGCGGCCUUUCAAGUCGGGUGUGAAAUCCCUCGGCUCAACCGAGGAAUUGCGCCUGAUACUGUUGGGCUUGGGGGGGAUAGGGGUGAGCGGAACUGAUGGUGGAGCGGUGAAAUGCGUUGAUAUCAUCAGGAACACCGGUGGCGAAGGCGGCUCACUGGAUCUCUUCUGACGCUGAGGAACGAAAGCUAGGGGAGCGAACGGGAUUAGAUACCCCUGUAGUC
rnacentral:rRNA from 1 species